rnacentral:rRNA from 1 species
AUACGGAAGGUCCGGGCGUUAUCCGGAUUUAUUGGGUUUAAAGGGAGCGCAGGCGGAGAUGCAAGCGUGACGUCAAAUUUCGGGGCUCAACCCCGUCUCGCGUCGCGAACUGCGUCCCUUGGUUGCGGGAAGGGGAGGCGGAACUCGUUGUGUAGCGGUUAAAUGCAUAGAUAUCACGAAGAACUCCGAUAGCGAAGGCAGCCUUCCGGCCCGUCAACGACGCUCAUGCUCGAAGGUGCGGGUAUCAAACAGGAUUAGAUACCCUGGUAGUCCGCACAGUAAACGAUGGACACCCGCGGUUUGGCCUGUAUGGCUGAGCCGCCAAGCGAAAGCGUUAAGUGUCCCACCUGGGGAGUACGCCGGCAACGGUGAAACUCAAAGGAAUUGACGGGG